UGUGUGUGUGUGUGUGUGGUGGGGGUCAUGCUGUCCACCUCCUGUGCCCGUUCAGGGGCUGGGGGGUGUCCUCCCUGCAGCUCAGGCAGGAGAGUCGCCGGCUGUGUGUGUGUUUUCACUCUUCUGCCUAGAGCAUGUGCCUCAUGCAUCGCCUUGUGCCCUCACUAGCCCUGCGCUGAGUUGACAAGGACCUGGGGUUAGCCUGGACCAGGGACAGGGAAAUCUUGGCUAAGAAGUCUUAGAUGGUUGUCUACACUGGGUGCUUUGGGCUUGGGCUCAUUUCUGAUGCUCAUUCAAGGCAGCAGACUUCUGUGGGAGAUCUGCUUGCUGUGUUGUUUGUUCGCAAAGUUCGGUGCUUCGUGCCAAGUGGUGUGGUGGCGCUGGUGAGAUGUGAGCCCUUGCUUCGGAGAGCUUACGGCCUAGUGAAGGAGACAGAGUUAUGUGGGGAAACUACAGAGCAAAAGGUCCUGACUGUAACUGAGCAGAAAUCCAGUCCGCACCAUCCAUGGGUGCACGGUGGGUGGGGCAAGUGUAGGGGACAAGCACGUUUGAACACGAAGCUGUGAGCUGUGCAGUCGGUGCUAUUGCAAGGGCGUAAACAUAACGUUACUCCACCAGAGGGAAGGCCGUGGAGAGUAAGAUGGGAGACCGCAUUUCAGGUGUGCUUUUAGGGGAAUUUGAGGCUUAGAGAAUGAAACAGUGGGAAAAGACAUGGAGGACAGGGAGCCGGCACUGUGCUGAAGCGGGUAAAGCCACCACCUGCCGUGCAUCCCAUAUGCACGCCGGUUCGAGUCCCAGCUGCUCCACUUCCGAUCCAGCUCUCUGCUAUGGCCUGGGAAAGCAGUGGAGGAUGGCCCAAGUCCUUGGGCCCCUGCACCUGCGUGGGAGAACCCGAAGAAGCCCCUGGCUCCUGGCUUCAGAUUGGCGCAGCUCUGAACCAGCGGAUGGAAGACUUCUCUCUCUCUUUCUCUGCCUCUGCCUCUCUGUAACUGUCUUCCAAAUAAAUAAGUAAAUCUUUAAAAAGGGGGGGGGGCUGGGAGGGGAAGAUGGGUGGGGAAGGGGGUGCUAGUGGGAUGUUCCAGAGGGGUUGUCAGUGUGGGACUCAGGAGAGACCUCAGGCUCCACGUGGAAGUCUGAUAGCGUCUGCGUGACGGAGCGUAUCAGAGCUGUGUGUGGCGAGGGUCACUGUGGGGACGGGUGGGACAAGGAGAGAAGGCUGCUGCAGGUCAUUGUGGGCAGAGGCAGAGCGAGACAGAGCAGCAGCAGGAAGAGGUCCCAGGAGGUGGCAGCGGCCGGGUCGCCAUGGAGAGGCGGAUCAAGGAGGCGGUGAGCAGCGGCGCUGUCCGAUGCUGCGGAGGCCACCUGGGAGAAGGCCAAGCUGAGAAGUCAGAGAAGGAUCAGGAGCAGUUGUGGAGCGCGGCAUUGGAGAGGAAGAAUCAGAGCGGGCUUAGCAUGAAGCUGUUACGUCUCCUAACUGUGGCAUGUCCUGUCGGCCACUGUCACUGGGGAGGUAGCGGAAUCGGGAUGAAGCAGACAUCCCACGGGCCUGGCGUGGGGGUCGCCCAGGCCGUGAGAAGCACCUGCUCGCCAGCAGCCAGGAGACGAACUUCCUACUCGAGCGGGGAACUGCAGUGUGACCCAGAGCACAUCCAUUCCCCGUAGGGCUCUCUUCCAUCGGUGUGGCCAGAUUCGAGUGGCUGACCCCAUGUCACUGCCCUGAACAACUUCCAGAAUCUUCCCUGAGAGGUACUGAGGAGAGCCCAUCCGUUUCCUGGCUGAUGCUUCUGUGUGUCUGUGGUGAUUGGAUGACUGCUAACGUUGACCUUAAGAUACGUCAGGCUCAGUCUAGACCACUGAACUGCCAGAGAAACUGGAAGAAACAACUUCGUUCAUUUUUAUUUCUUCAUUUGAGAGACAGAGAUCCAGUCUGCUGGCUUGCUCCCCAAAUGCCCGCAGUGCCUAGGGCUGGGCUGAAGCCAAAACCAGGAACUCAAACCAGGUCUCCCAUGUGGGUGGCAGGAACCCAGUGACUUACGCCAUGACCGCAGCCUCCCAGGGUCUGCGUUAGCAGGAAGCUGGAGUCAGGAGCCUGAGCCAGGAAUGGAACUCAGACAUUCAGGGUGGGACCCUGAUCUCUGCUGCUGGGCCCAGUGCCCACCCCAACAACUUCCGUAAGAGCCCCCGGAAAAAGCAGCUCUGCUCCUUCCCACCUCAACCAGCGUCCCUUCGUCCGUUGCUUUCUUCCCUUGCCAGUCCUCUUGGUGCCUGCCUGGACUUGGCAUUGGGCCUGCUGAGAUCUGGUCCAGAGCCGGCUGAGUGCCGAGACUUGGCCUUCCUAAGCCUUGGAGCUCCUUCCAGCCUGCCCCCCACCCCCACUGGGGUUCCGCCACCUCCCUGGCAAGUCUGCUCCCAUGGCCGCUCAUGUCAUCUGCCCAGGUCCUAGCAGCUGCUUGUUUUGAACUUUUUUUUUCUUUUGUAAGGAUUUAUUUAUUUGACAGAGUGACAGAAAAAGGAGAGAGAACCUCCAUGUAUGGGUUCACUCCCCAAUGCCCACAGAAGCCUGACUAGUCCCAGCUUAAGCCAGGAGCUCCAUCCAGGUCUCCCACUGAGUGGCAGGGCCCUAAGCACUUGGGCCAUCAGCUGCAUCGUAGGCCCGUUAGCAGGAAGCUGGAUCAGAAGUGCAGAGUAACCAUGGUCAGGAUGACCCACCUCCAACAUGGAUGUGGCUGUCCCAAGCAGGGCCUUAGCCCGCUGCAGCACAGUGCCAGCCCCUCAUGUUGAAUUUUCCCUCCGGUCCUUCUCUGGGCCAUCCUUAUACCACCGUUGUGAGGAAGCUGAGCUUCAGGUACAUUUCAUAAGCCAGCUAGUUAGUGGCAGAGCUGAAAUUUGAACCUGGGGCUGUCUGAAUCUAACAUCCCUUCUAUACUUGGAGUGACUUUGCUGGCAGCCCCUCCCCCCACCCAGACAUGUGUGAUCUGGAAUAGCAGCACAGAUAAGGGCUGGUCCUCCUGGGGUUCGCAUGUCCCUCGGGCUGCCUGAGCAGCUGUGCCACUGUGGGCAGUGAUGUGGGUAGUUAGUAAGGCCUGCCUUCUGGGCCGUUGUGACAAGCUCAAACUGAUGCACGAAGAACAUGUGAUGGUGCCUGGCGCACGCGCAUUGGGUGCUCCGUAAUAGACCGAUCGUCGGGACUGCCCCUCUGUCCCGGGGUGGGCUCUGCUAUCAGCUCCUGCGCUUCGACUUCCCAGCUGCAGACUCGCCAAGCUUGCUGCCGUGGAGCUGCAGCGGCUCGGGUCAGAGCUCUGUUCCCUGUGAGCCCUGCUCCCGGCCCCGUGGGCGAGAGCCACGUGUGUUGCAGUAGUGGUUCUGAGUCCCAGCACAGCGCCGUGAGUGCAGCAGGCAGGUAGCGUGUUGGAAGGAUGCUGGGAGCAGUCCAGGCAGUGCUGCUGUGACGUGAGAUAGCACACACGCACACAUGAGACGUGACACGGCAGAGGUCCAGGUGGACUGGGGCUCCUUACCGCACCAGGCAUGACGGGGGAGGGGAGAUCCUCAGAACUGAUUUUGUGCCUGGAAUAUAUGAGCAGAGGGGACUUCUGCCAGAGAUUUGGGCCGUCCUCACUGAGUCAGCAGGCACCAAGGACUUGGAUUUGGAUAACUGACCUCAUGCUGAUGCACUGUGUCCACUCCGACAUUAAUGGCAAAUGUGCGGGUAGGAUGGGGUCUAGUGGCUGCCCUGAGAGCCUGGGGUGCCCGGGGACUGCCACAAACGUGGGGAUCCUCACUGGGUGUGGAUGGGAUGACCUCGCAUGGGUUAUUGCCAUCUAAGUUCAUGCCACGGAUAUUUGGGGGGUGGCUGACUAGGCAUUGCUGCGUCGUUUGCUACAUUGUCAUUUUCACUUUCCAAGUUCUCUCUCCCUAAGUCAUCAACUAUUGCCUGUGAGGCAGAGGCCUGGAAUGACAGUCUCUUAUCACUCACAGAUUCAUUAUGUUUGGUAAUCUGUGUGGGUUUCCAAGAGGGGGGUAUCUUUCCCAUGUUUGAGCCGCUUUCUAGCCAAAGGAAAGACAGCCACAGCACUGCUGCUGUAACAAAACAAAUUCCUAGCACCUCAGUGGCUGAUGGCAUUCUGCAAGGGGUUCCCUACGUUAGAUGAACAUACAGUGGUCUAUCAGUUCGUACGUAUGUCCUGUGCUUAGUGGGGGACUUCCAUGAUUCGUUAGGUCAAGGCAGUAUGCCCACACGGUGUCUCCGGAGCGUCACCUCUCUCGAGUAAGGGAAGAUGACUUGGUUCUGAAUUCUGGGAUGAUGAGUCCCUUAUGUGAAUUCGCUGGGCGAACCAAAAAGGAGGAGCCAAGAAGUGGCGUUACAAUUCUGGAUGGUGUGUGCCUAACCUGGGGUCACUUUGACCAAGGACAAGGAAAGGGGCGUAGGAGGGGUUCUGUGUUCACCCUCACAGAACCAAACAGCACACAAAACACCUAGUGGCCUACUUGCCGAAAUCAAGGGGAGACCUCACCAAGUCUGACAUGCUGUCUCUCAGUCACGUUGGUGCCAGAUAUUGCUGUGGAUUCGUUCUGAGAGGAGAAGUGUGGUGGGGGCAAGAGGUGUGGAGUCACCACACAGACCCCGGGAGUCAGGUGAAAGCGGGCCAGAGGCAAGCAGCCUGCAGACUCAUUUAUUUCAGUUAGUACAGCAGCUUAUAUAGCCAAGGCAGCCAAUCUGGUCAAGGGGCUGUUUAUACCCUAACCAAUCACAGCCUGUUGCUAGGCAGUUUCUGAAGCCAUCCAAUCACAGCCUGUUGCCAGGCAGGCUCUGUGGCCAGGGGCUUUCCAAAGCCAUUCCUGAGUAACUGAUGCUCGCUUGCCAGCGGCCAUUUUGGCAUGGCCUUCUCAUUCCACCACACAUGUGCUUGGUCUCUGUCCCCUUGAGGGAAACCCAGGUUGAGUUCCUAGCUCUUCACUUUUGCCUGGCCCAGCUGUUGCUGUAGGCAUUUAGGAAGUGAAUCAACAGAUCAAAGUUCUGUCUGUAUGUCUCUCUCUCUCUCUCUCUCUCUCUCUCUCUCUUUCUUUCCCUCUCUCUGUCUCUCUGCCUUUCAAAUAAGUAAGUAAAAACAAGAACUUUUUUUAGAAUAAACUUAGGAAACACUGGCACAGCGGUUUGGUGCAGUAAAAAAGUUGUGCCUUGGAACCCCCACAUUCCAGAUUGGAGUGCCUGGGUGCCAGUCCUGGCUCUGCUUCCGGCUCCAGCUUCCUGCCAGUGUGCACCCUGGGAGGCGGCCGUGAUGGCUGCAGUACUUGCAUCCCAGCCACCCAUGCGGGAGACCCAGACAGAAUUCCACACUGACUCCAGGCUGUGACCUGGCCUCCUUGGGCUGUUGCAGGCUUUUGGGGAGUGAAACUGGAUAGAAAAAUCUCUCUGUCUCUGACUCUCUGCCUCUCUGCUUUUCAAGUAAAAUGAAAAUAAAUAAUAUUUUAAAAAUAGAAAACAUUAAAAUUAGUACUAACUUACUGCUGAUAUGAUAUUAGUCUUUAUACUAAUGCAGAUUUACUGUGAAAGUGUUUUAAAAAAGCAAAGAUACAGGCCAGCGCCGUGGUUCACUUGGUUAAUCCUCUGCCUGAGGCGCCGGCAUCCCAUAUGGGCGCCAGGUUCUAGUCCCGGUUGCUUCUCUUCCAGUCUAGCUCUCUGCUGUGGCCUGAGAAAGCAGCAGAGGAUGGCCCAAGUGCUUGGGCCCUGCACCCGCAUGGGAGACCAGGAAGAAGCACCUGGCUCCUGGCUUCAGAUCGGCACAGUGCCAACUGUAGCGGUCAUUUGGGAAUAAACCAACAGAAGGAAGAGCUUUCUCUCUUUCUCUCUCAUUCUCUAUAAAUCUACCUGUCAAAUAAAUUUAAAAAAAAAAAGAUACAAACAGGAAAUAAUAGCAGAUAGUGCAAUUAACUGAAUAUUUUGAAUAUUCAAAAUGUGGGGUAGGACCAGCACUGUGGCAUAGCAGGUAAAGCUGCCAUCUGCAGUGCCGGUAUCCCAUGUUGGCACUGGUUUGAGUCCUGGCUGUUCCACUUCGUGUCCAGUUCCCUGCUAUUGUGCCUGGGAAAGCAGUAGAAGAUGGCCCAAGUCCUUGAACCCCUGCACCUGCAUGGAAGACAUAGAGGAAGCUCCUGGCUUCUGGCUUCAGAUCAACCCAGCUCCAGCCGUUGUGGUCAUUUAGGGAGUGAACCAGUGGAUGGAAGACCUCACAUUCUCCCUCUGUAACUCUGUCAAAUAAAUAAAUAAAUAAAUCCUUUUCUUUUUUUUUUUUUUUUUUUUUUUUUAGAUUUUAUUAUUUGAAAGUCAGAGUUACACAGAGAGAGGAGAGGCAGAGGGAGAGAGAAAGAGAGGUCUUCCACCCAAUGGCUCACUCCCCAGUUGGCUGCAAUGGCCAGAGCUGUGCUGAUCCAAAGCCAGGAGCCAGGAAUCUCCUCUGUGUCUCCCAUGCAGGAUGGGCCAUCUUCAACUGUUUUCCCAGGCCAUAGCAGAGAGCUGGAUAGGAAGUGGAGCAGCCGAGACUUGAACUGGUGCCCAUAUGGGAUGCUGGCACUGCAGGCCAGGGUGUUAGCCCGCUGUGCCACAGCGCUGGCCCCAUAACUAAAUCUUUUUUUUUUUUUAAUGUGGGAUAAUGCAAAAAGAAGUGUGCAAAUUUGAAUGAGUUCAGUAGAAAACCUGAAUUAAAAGCAAAUACAUCGAAGGAAAUAAAGUAGAAUUCAGUGAACUCUAAAGUGUUUAUGUAUGUGAAAGGCAGAGUGUCAGAGGGAGAGGGAGGGACAGAAAGAGAUCUCCAACAUGGGAAGCAGGCCACACAGCAGACUCAGAAUCUUUCCUUAGGGCAGAGUUGGUCUUGUGUAUAUAAAGUUAAUUAAAAAUGAAUCUUAAUGAAGAAUGGGAUGGGAGUAGGGGUGGGAUGGCGGGUAUGGGAGGAAGAACUGUUAUAGUCCUAAAGCUGUACCUAUGAAAUUUAUGUUUAUUAAAUAAAAGCUUUCUAAAAAUAUAUAUAAUUUUCAAAAAGACAAAAAAAAAAGA